rnacentral:piRNA from 1 species
UGAGAAUCUCAUUUUUCAGAUGGGCUGAGU